CUUUAGUAAGUAUUAUGUACAUUUGCCUUCCAAGCAAAAAGACUAGUUUAUUUAGACUAAAGA
rnacentral:tRNA from 1 species